rnacentral:rRNA from 1 species
AUUGAACGCUGGCGGCAGGCCUAACACAUGCAAGUCGAACGGUAGCACAGAGAGCUUGCUCUCGGGUGACGAGUGGCGGACGGGUGAGUAAUGUCUGGGAAACUGCCCGAUGGAGGGGGAUAACUACUGGAAACGGUAGCUAAUACCGCAUAACGUCGCAAGACCAAAGUGGGGGACCUUCGGGCCUCACACCAUCGGAUGUGCCCAGAUGGGAUUAGCUAGUAGGUGGGGUAAUGGCUCACCUAGGCGACGAUCCCUAGCUGGUCUGAGAGGAUGACCGGCCACACUGGAACUGAGACACGGUCCAGACUCCUACGGGAGGCAGCAGUGGGGAGUAUGGCACAAGGGGCGCAAGCCGGAUGCAGCCAUGCCGCGUGUAUGAAGAAGGCCUUCGGGUUGUAAAGUACUUUCAGCGGGGAGGAAGGCGGUGAAGUUAAUAGCUUCACCGAUUGACGUUACCCGCAGAAGAAGCACCGGCUAACUCCGUGCCAGCCGCCGCUGUAA